UGACCUAUGGUGUAAUGGUAGCACAACAGUCUCUGGAUCUGUUUGUCUUGGUUCGAAUCCAGGUAGGUCAACCA
rnacentral:tRNA from 1 species